AAGAAAUACUUCAACGACAUGCUUGCUCGUAACAUUGAACCAUCACAGAUGCACUACGCUUGCAUGGUUGAUCUUCUUGGUCGUUCUGGGCUAAUGGAUGAGGCCAUUAAUGUUAUCACUGGUCUACCAUUUGAACCAGAUUUCAAUGUUUGGGCUGCGCUCCUUGGAGCAUGCCGUCUCAAUGGAAAUGUGGAGUUGGGUUCUUGGGCAGCUGAGCACUUAUUUAAGAUGCAGCCGCAUCAUCCUGGAUACUAUGCUCUUCUCUCAAAUAUGUACGCUGAAGCAGGGCGGCG
rnacentral:misc_RNA from 1 species